rnacentral:misc_RNA from 1 species
GCCGUUAUAGGAGAACUAGAAUGGGUUUUCGUCUCAUCCAAUAUAUUACGCGACUGCCACCAUUGAGAUUGGUUUGCCCAUUUCAAUAUAAAUAGAGGUGACUGGUGAGGUUGUAAUGGGGCUCUCAAUUCUUGAUUCAGCAAUGAAUCCUCAAGCCAUUGGAACUUGCAGAGACUACUCAGUCUCUUUUGCUUACUCCUACACCUUCCCCAAUUCACUCCCUACUUCAAAUUUCAAAUCCCAAUUCAUUCCUCACAAUCUAACUUUUCGAAAAUCAAAAACCACUUUCUCUGCGACAAGGCCGCCUCGAAGUCUUGUAAUUUGCUCUGCCGAGAGAACUUCUCCGGCCAAGGCUUUGCGCCUGAUUCUUGGAUCGCCUGGUAUCCACCAGGGCCCUGCUUGUUUUGAUGCUCUUAGUGCAAAGCUCGUGGAGAGAGCGGGAUUCGAUUACUGCUUCACUAGUGGAUUUUCAAUAUCGGCUGCUAGAUUGGCAUUGCCUGAUACUGGCUUUAUUUCCUAUGGGGAAAUGGUGGAUCAGGGGCAAUUAAUCACUCAAGCUGUGUCAAUUCCUAUCAUUGGGGAUGGUGAUAAUGGCUAUGGAAAUGCCAUGAAUGUCAAAAGAACUGUUAAGGGAUACAUAAAAGCUGGCUUUGCGGGAAUCAUUCUUGAAGAUCAGGUGUUCCCAAAAGCUUGUGGUCACACACGUGGUAGGAAAGUGGUGUCUAGAGAAGAAGCAGUGAUGCGUAUAAAAGCAGCUGUUGAUGCUCGGGAAGAGGUUGGCUCUGACAUUGUUAUUGUUGCACGAACUGAUUCUCGACAAGCAAUAUCCUUGGAUGAAUCACUUUGGAGGUCAAGAGCUUUUGCUGAUGCUGGAGCUGAUGUUCUUUUUAUCGAUGCACUAGCUUCAAGAGAAGAGAUGAAGUCUUUCUGUGAAAUCUCUCCUCUAGUUCCAAAAAUGGCCAAUAUGCUUGAAGGAGGGGGGAAAACUCCAAUACUCAAUCCUUUGGAACUUGAGGAAGUUGGAUAUAAACUUGUGGCUUACCCUCUUUCCUUGAUCGGGGUAUCUAUACAAGCGAUGCAGGAUGCAUUAACUGCCAUUAAAGGAGGUCGGAUUCCUCCUCCUGGAAGCAUGCCGACUUUUGAAGGAAUAAAGGAAAUAUUAGGUUUCAACUCUUAUUAUGAAGAAGAGAAGCGGUAUGCUAUCAGCACAAGUCAAAUGCUUAGGCCAGGAGGUGAGUGAGAAUUGGACCUUUACACCUGGACCAACUUGAUUUGCCUAAGAACUAUCUUACUUUGAACUUUGCUAAGAUAUUUUAGGUGUUCUAGCAUGUCAAUAAUCAAAGCUUCAAAGCUAGAUUUUUUUUUCCCUGGUUCAUUUUGUUACUCUCUUCAUUAGAGUUUCUUGUUUCUUUGUUAAGUGAAAGAUUGGUUUGGUAAAUCCUCCAAUCUAAAUACUUAAACUACUGUCUGGAAAGAGGCAGGAAACCCAUCCAAGAGCUUAUCUUAUUGUCAUGGGACAAUGUACUCAAACACCACCUUCCAUGUUCAGGCGAAGAAAAAGGCACAAGUUCCUUCCUUUGAGCUCUUUAACAACUAUUAUAGCUCACAAGUUCCUUCUUUUGCAUGGACAGUUCCCAAUUGAGAACUAUAUUAGCUUUUCAACAAAGCCAUGUGACUAUGGACUCUUACUUUCUUCUUUGUUUUUCCUAAAUUUAGUCUUAAUAUAAACUUUAUAAUUUCCCAUCUAUCAACCUGCUACUAUGCAAGUCUAAGAUAAGACAGCCUGCUAUUACUUGUUGUAAUUCUGAUAAAUGUAGGUUAUACAUCAGCAAGCAGUAAUGUAUAUGGUAUACAACGGAGGUCUCCAGAUGAUACACAGCAGAGAAGUCAAAGUCCUCAAGAUCCUGUUGUUGAAGUGAUAACUCCUGAUGUAUACAAUAACUAUGGUGCAGAUGGUUUAAGAGAUCCAUUUUCUGGGAUCUGGUCUCGGACAUUGAGAAUCAAAAUAACUGGAAGAGAUGGAUUUGAAAAACUUGAUGUUAGGAUUCCUGCUGGGUUCUUAGAAGGUAUCACAAAUAUUGUUCCAGCUUUGGGGGGUGUGAACAUCAAAGAGCUCUUGGAUGAUGCAACCGGGAACUAGAAGACAAGUUGUUGGAUUUUAAAUUUUAAUUAUAACGUGGGUGACAGAAUUCAAGUAUUUCUAGAAUAAAAUUUUUUCCCCAAGUCAAUGGAAAAGGUACCUCUAACUUUAGGUAAAACAACUUUUCAAUUCAGCAGUUCUUUCUAUUUCUUCUUAUAUAGUCCUCCGUUUUUUUUUGACUUGUUCAAUUCAGAAGUGUUUUGUUCCUCAAAUGCGAACUAUAGAAGACAAUCUGAAAAAUGAGACAUCAUAAA